CGGGAGGCUUAACACAUGCAAGUCGAGGGGCAGCACUAUGUAGCAAUACGUUGGUAGCGACCGGCGCACGGGUGAGUAACGCGUAUGUAACCUACCUUGUACAGGGGGAUAGCCCGGAGAAAUUCGGAUUAAUACCCCAUAAUGAUAUUUGAAGGCAUCUUUAGAUAUUUAAAGUUUCGACGGUACGAGAUGGGCAUGCGUGACAUUAGCUAGUUGGUAAGGUAACGGCUUACCAAGGCUACGAUGUCUAGGGGUCCUGAGAGGGUGAUCCCCCACACUGGUACUGAGACACGGACCAGACUCCUACGGGAGGCAGCAGUGAGGAAUAUUGGUCAAUGGGCGUAAGCCUGAACCAGCCAUCCCGCGUGAAGGAAGAAGGCGCUAUGCGUCGUAAACUUCUUUUCCGGAGGAAUAAAAUUUCGUACGAGUACGGGACUGAAGGUACUCCGGGAAUAAGCAUCGGCUAACUCCGUGCCAGCAGCCGCGGUAAUACGGAGGAUGCGAGCGUUAUCCGGAUUUAUUGGGUUUAAAGGGUGCGUAGGCGGAUUAAUAAGUCAGUGGUGAAAACCUUCAGCUUAACUGGAGAACUGCCAUUGAUACUGUUAGUCUUGAGUACGGUCAAGGUAGGCGGAAUGUGUAAUGUAGCGGUGAAAUGCUUAGAUAUUACACAGAACACCGAUUGCGAAGGCAGCUUACUGGACCAUUACUGACGCUGAUGCACGAAAGCGUGGGGAGCGAACAGGAUUAGAUACCCUGGUAGUCCACGCCGUAAACGAUGAUCACUCGCUGUUAGCGAUACACAGUUAGCGGCUAAGCAAAAGCAUUAAGUGAUCCACCUGGGGAGUACGGCCGCAAGGCUGAAACUCAAAGGAAUUGACGG
rnacentral:rRNA from 1 species